rnacentral:rRNA from 1 species
UACAGAGGGGGCAAGCGUUAUUCGGAAUUAUUGGGCGUAAAGGGCGCGUAGGCGGCUUGGCAAGUGGAUGGUGAAAUCCCUCGGCUUAACCGAGGAACUGCCGUCCAAACUGCUUCGCUUGAGACCGGGAGAGGUGAGUGGAAUUCCCAGUGUAGCGGUGAAAUGCGUAGAUAUUGGGAAGAACACCCGUGGCGAAGGCGGCACUCUGGGACGGUACUGACGCUGAGACGCGAAAGCGUGGGGAGCGAACAGG